rnacentral:rRNA from 1 species
UACGUAGGGGGCAAGCGUUGUCCGGAAUUAUUGGGCGUAAAGCGCGCGCAGGCGGCUAUUUAAGUCUGGUGUUUAAACCUUGGGCUCAACCUGGGGUCGCACUGGAAACUGGGUGGCUUGAGUACAGAAGAGGAAAGUGGAAUUCCACGUGUAGCGGUGAAAUGCGUAGAGAUGUGGAGGAACACCAGUGGCGAAGGCGACUUUCUGGGCUGUAACUGACGCUGAGGCGCGAAAGCGUGGGGAGCAAACAGGG